GCACUGCUGAGGAGUCCCAUACCAGGACGAAACUAACGUCCAGUAC
rnacentral:hammerhead_ribozyme from 1 species